rnacentral:SRP_RNA from 2 species
GCUGGGUGUGGUGGUGCACACCUGUAAUCCCAGCUACUCGAGAGGCUGAGGCAGGAGAAUUGCUUGAGCCCAGGAGAAGGAAGUUAUAGUGAGCCAAGAUCGGGCCACUGCACUCCAGCCUGAGCAACAGAGCGAGACUCUGUAUCUU